AACCAAGUAUAUCCUCAUUCAUAACUUGGUAUCAAAAUUUCUAAGUACUACAAUGGCUUUUUAUCGCACAAACCUUCCCACUCGUGGACUAUUCUCCCUUGUUUCAGUCGUCAUUGUUUUGCUAGCCACAAAUAUAAACUCAGUUCAAGCACUGUCCUUCAAUUUCACCAAGUUCACCCAUGGUAAUUCUGCUAUCACCCUCCAAGGGGAUGCACAAAUUUUAGCCAAUGGUUUCUUGGCACUGACCAACAGUACAACACUUCCUCCAACUGUAACUUUCCCAACUACCGGUCGUGCCUUAUAUACAACACCCUUAACCCUUUGGGACGAUGCAACUGGCAAUGUUGCCAGUUUUGUCACUUCCUUUUCUUUUGUCGUACAGUCCCCGGCAGGACGUGCUCCAACUGACGGGCUGAUCUUUUUCAUUGCACCACCGGACACUGUGAUUCCCAACAACUCAGACAGUUUAUAUCUGGGAGUAGUUGAUAGUAAAUCUUCAAUCAAUCAGUUCGUUGGUGUAGAGUUUGACCUUUAUCCCAAUCUUUUUGAUCCCAUCAAUAUUUUCUAUCAUAUUGGAAUCGAUGUCAACUCUUUAAUUUCAUUAAAGACCGAGACGUGGAACUGGGUGAAUGGUUCAUCCACUAAAGUAACUAUAAUAUAUGACUCUCCUUCUAACACAUUGACUGUUGUUGUCACUUAUGCAAAUGGUCAAAUUUCUACCAUUUCACAAAACAUUGAUUUAAAAGCUGUGCUCCCCAAGGAUGUUAGGCUUGGUUUUUCUUCUACUUCAAUAACUGGUGUAGCACAUGACAUCCAUUCAUGGUCAUUCACAUCACACUUGGAAAAAUCAUCAAGCAGUAUCUCAGACAUAUGAAUACUGUUGUUGCAAGCUAUGCUUACCAGCAGUUUGUAGUAAUUACCUCUACUAUUUCUAAAUAAGACCCUGCAUACUAGCAGCUUAUGUGACCUCUAUGUGUUUUCUGUUAAAAUAAAGAUCUUGUUUCAAUUA